GGAGGUGGAGCUCAGUGGUAGUGUUUGCCUAGUAUGCAUGAGGCCCUGGGUUCAAUCCUCAGCACCACCA
rnacentral:tRNA from 1 species